CAUGCAGCUCAAUUAGAGCAUGUCUUCCAAUUGCUGCUUUGCAUUGAUCAAAUCAGAGGUGAACUUCCAAGGGUUGACCAUUUUUGCUUGUUUGUAGCGGAGUUUGGGCUUUUUAAUGUUGACUGUGAAGGAAACAUGGAGUCAUGGACAUUUUACUUGCAGUUCAAAGGAUUGAUUUGAUUGGGACUUUACUCUAGUAGGAUUGACAAGUAGUUAAGCGUUAACAAGUUUAUGUCACUUUUUAGUUCACCUCUGAUUU
rnacentral:misc_RNA from 1 species